rnacentral:rRNA from 1 species
AUUGAACGCUGGCGGCAUGCCUUACACAUGCAAGUCGAACGGCAGCACGGGAGCAAUCCUGGUGGCGAGUGGCGAACGGGUGAGUAAUAUAUCGGAACGUGCCCAGUCGUGGGGGAUAACGUAGCGAAAGCUACGCUAAUACCGCAUACGAUCUAUGGAUGAAAGCGGGGGAUCGCAAGACCUCGCGCGAUUGGAGCGGCCGAUAUCAGAUUAGGUAGUUGGUGNGGUAAAGGCUCGCCAAGCCGACGAUCUGUAGCUGGUCUGAGAGGACGACCAGCCACACUGGGACUGAGACACGGCCCCAGACUCCUACGGGAGGCAGCAGUGGGGAAUUUUUGGGACAAUGGGCGCAAGCCUGAUCCAGCAAUGCCGCGUGCAGGAUGAAGGCCUUC